GUGGAGGUGUGGGGCAUUCUUCCUGAAAUAUUGCUGCAUUCCCUUCAUCAGCUGAUAAGGUUCCUUGUUUGGAGAGCAAACAGGAGAAGUACCUGCUGUAAAUGCUCUGUGGCCCUUGGACGUGCUUAACCUCCUGAGAUAUACAUACACCAAUAUUUGCAAAAUGCUGCACACCAAAGUCUCCACGUCCACUACAAACCAUCAGACAACACACAGCCAGACAUACACACCCUUCCCUCCAGACUGCCGUCACAGCACUCCAAGCACAGCUGUCAAAACGCAGGGACUUCCAACACAACAAUAGUGAGAUGUCUUGGGAGAGCCAGAGAAAGACAGAUUCGGGAGAGGAGGUGUACUGGAUGUUGAACUCACACCUCUGGACACCUCAGAUGCUCUGGAUUGGGGCCGCACAGGCACGGUCCACUGUUAUCUCACAUCAACUCUCAUAACAGCUCUGGGAAGACCUCCCUCAACCUCACGCCUCGCAUUGAUCACCUGAGUCCCACCUGAAGUUUUGAAUGAUCAUCUGAGUCCCACCUGAGGGAGCGGGAAAAGCCGGUAGAGGCCCUGAAUGGCUUCAAUUAAGAGAACAAUUGCUUUAGUCACACAAUUAUGAGCUCAGGGUGACUAAAUGCAAAAGGCCCUGAAGGAGCACGGCUAAAGAUUUCUGGCAUCCCAGUCAAUGUGGUCCGCCCACCCCCCACUGCUCAUUACUGGGACCACCAACUGGGAGCAACAGCACCGUGCUGCAACAGCAAUGAGUGAUUCAGCUUUAACUGACAACCAAAGGGACUCCACUGUUACAGAAAUGAGCAACAAAGGCUACUGAGUGAUGAGAUCAGGGUGAUAAAAUAGAUGGCUUCAUCAGGGAUUGAAGUGACAUCAUUAAACAGCUUUCAAGAACUCCAAAGAAGAAGAAUCACAAUUGAGUCACGAGUCAUAUAUGUAUAUAUAUGUUUUUUGUUUUUUUAUUUCAAUUUUUUUUUUCUCAGUGGUGGAAAACAUCCAAUCCUCUUCUUAAAAGUAAAGA